UGCCCCUGGCGACCGCUGUCCAUGUUGGUUGCCUGGAUACCGUAGAGGUACACGAGGACCAUCAAAUACAGCAGGAUGGACAUCACUAGAUUCACCUUCUGCUGUAGGAGGAGACUCUGGAGGCAGCAUGGCUGCGCAGUAUCACCACUGAUGACAACAAAGACAAAGAAGGUCGAGCACCACUCCAUCAGAUUCAUGCCCCCGGGCACGUGUUGUCCCAUGUGGCCCAGGAUCAGUAAGCUUUUAAACUGAACAUAUCUUCCUUUCAAAGAGUCAAUCAAAACGGCAGCGAAGAAGCCUUGUACGAUCACAGACGUGAAAGUUGAGGACAUAAAGAAACCGUCCAACUUUAUGUGUGCAGAGAAAGCAGAUUCCUCUAAACAACAGCAACUGCUUGUGGACAUGAUGGGAGAGAUCAAGGAAAUGAAAAGACAGAAUGUCUAAAAGGACAAAAGGACCUGGAACAAUCCUCGUUACAAUCCUCCUGUAUGAAUGACUUGUCAGCAGGAAGGAGACCAGGCCCCCGAGCCCCCCGAGCCUGACCUCACUGGAGCAACAGGUGAUCGCUUUCUUUGACAGCAAAGGAAUAUUAAUGGGUGGCAACGAUAUUGAGGCAGGUCAUCUCCUGCCCUAAAAAAAAGAGCGAGAAACCUGCUAUAACACUGUCAGCAGAAACAACAGAUCGCAGAGCUCAGGCAGGAGAGAAAGGAACAUUACAUUACUGGUGAUUCAGCAGAUGCUCUUAUCCAGAGCGACUUACAGUGAACUCACUACAGGGACAGUCUCCCUGGAACAACUCAGGGCUAAGUACCUUGCUCAGGGGCACAAUGGUAGUAUUGAAGUAUUGUAUAUAGUAUAUAGUAUAGUAUCCUAGUAUUGAACUCACCUUCUGGUUUGGAAGGCGUACCACCAGACCACUAGGCUAUCACCACCAACGUGUAUGUUGACAAAAAACACUUGACAAAGAACAAAGAUCCAAUCAACAUGGACCACAAACUGCAAGACAUCUAUGAAAGUGAAGGCGUCAUCAGGGAGGAGAGCAGGCACCCUGUUAUGAUCAGCAACCAUCACGUCUGCCAAAGACGAUGCUGGUGCACUUUGUAAUAGCAAUUUUAAUGUCUACUGUUUAAAUAAUGUUCUAAUAAUGUUACAAGUGAUGAUCUGCCUAUUUCUCUUUUCUAUGCAUUUGCACAACUUUACAAAUUCCCUUAGCAAGCCAGGGUCAACUGCCUUUUCUUGUUAUAAUGGGGGAGGCAUUGUAAAACAGGACACAGAUGGCCCUCUCUUUAGAUUUACAUACUGUUUAACUCUCUGUGAAAGAAUCUUGGGUGUGCCAUUUGUUUUAGUGUUUACAUAACUGUUAUCAAGGAGACGGUCAGGAUACUAUGUUGCUCCAAGAAACAAAUGUCUAUGUGUAUAUAUACCCAAAGCUAAAAGGUUUGAGUUUCCCAGGACUGGUUCAUCAGGUUGGAGGAAAUGACCUUACAAACAUCAAAUGGAACUAAUCUAACAGAGAUAAUCUUUGGUUUAUUGCUUUGUUCCCUGUCCUCUGCUGUGUUUAUGACUCAGUCACUAAAAAGUCAAGGAACAAGUGUGUGUAUAAAUUGUCUAUGUAUCUUCAUUCAAACUGUGCCCUCCUACAGACUAUGUUGUAUUCUGUAGAACUGGUGCCAAUUUGAGAUCUCAAAU